UCCAUUUGUGGACAUUUAAAGCAGCAAUUAGUAAUGACCUGAAUUAAAUGUGAGAUUGGCUCUGGAUAACUAAUCUAAACCACUCUUAUAAUAAAGUUUAGCUUAAUUAGAAAUACCAGAUGCUUUGCUUAUUUAGCUUUUGCUUUAUUUGAAGAAAAAUGGCCUCAGUCUUUUUAUAUGGGUGCACAUGCACACAGUUUAUUGUAUGAAAAUAACUAUUAUGUACACUAUUUAUUGGAUGUCUCUUGGUUCUAAUUAUUUGGUAUAGAAGUAACAGUUGCAAAACGUUACUUACUGUCAGAUCAAACCAGCAUUUUGUAAAGUAGGAAUCACAAUUGUAAAAUAGAAGAGUAGCGGAAAUGUUUGUUAAUGCUAAUCAAGGUUAAUUGAUAUUUCAACAGCCGCUCUAAAUCACGAUCACCAUCUUUAAAGAGAAGUCGUUCACCAUCGGGAAGCCCUCGAAGAAGUAUCAGUCCUGAAAGAAUGGAUUAGAAUGGCAAAGAACAUGUUAGGAAGUUUUGUUUACGUAAUUUUAAGGGAUUUCUUUAUUGAGAAAUGUAAGGAAUUAGUUGACUGAAGAAAAUCUUUUCUAGGGUUAAUGCAGCAAGGAUCUGGAACUUUUAGUAAAAUCUGUAAAAGCUGCUACAGUAGACUAUAGUGCACAAUUUCUUGUAUGUAAUAACAUCCUAUGAUCUGAAAAGUGUCUUUUUAUGGGCACAUGAAAUAAAAUGUGUUUCUAACUUUGC